AUACGGAGGAUCCGAGCGUUAUCCGGAUUUAUUGGGUUUAAAGGGAGCGCAGGCGGAGAUGCAAGCGUGACGUCAAAUUUCGGGGCUCAACCCCGUCUCGCGUCGCGAACUGCGUCCCUUGGUUGCGGGAAGGGGAGGCGGAACUCGUGGUGUAGCGGGGAAAUGCAUAGAUAUCACGAAGAACUCCGAUCGCGAAGGCAGCCUUCCGGCCCGUCAACGACGCUCAUGCUCGAAGGUGCGGGUAUCAAACAGGAUUAGAUACCCUGGUAGUCCGCACAGUAAACGAUGGACACCCGCGGUUUGGCCUGUAUGGCUGAGCCGCCAAGCGAAAGCGUUAAGUGUCCCACCUGGGGAGUACGCCGGCAACGGUGAAACUCAAAUGAAUUGACGGGG
rnacentral:rRNA from 1 species